UAAGAGUUCUUGAUCUCAAACACAGACUCAAGACUGCCUCCAGGUUCCUAUAUUUGGCAUACAUUUGGGUUUUCUCAUUUUGCACAAUAAAGUGCAUAUCUUUUUUUUUUUUUUUUUUAGGGCCACAUCCGUGGCAUUUGGAGGUUCCCAGGCUAGGGGUUGAAUCAGAGCUAUAGCUGCCGGCCCAUACCACAGCCACAGCAAUGCCGAAUCCUUAACCCACUGAGUGAGGCCAGGGAUCAAACCCACAACCUCAUGGUUCCUAGUUGGAUUCGUUUUUGCUGUGCCACGAUGGGAACUCCUAAAGUGCAUGUCUUAAGGGAAACAUACAAAACCUAUUAUUGUUUUAUACCUAUUUUUUCAGUUUGAACUUCUCCUGCUCUCCCAUUACAUUCCUUUUUCUUUUUUUUUUUUGCCGUGACUCUGGGAAUUUACACAUGCUUUUGUAUUUUGCCCAGACUUUUCUUCUCUCUUGGGUAUAGCAAAAUUCUACUCCUUCUUCAAGAUCUAUCUCUGUCAUUUCCAUGUUUUGAAAGCUUCCCCUUGUAUGCAGUCACUCUGCCUAAUUUAUACUUCUAUUGAAAUACUCUCCAAACCAUGUUCUGAGGAAACUGUAGAAUACAAUAACAAAUGUUAUUGCAGGGACUUUCCUCUAGUCCAAAAAUUUGAGAAAUUGUAAAUUAAAAAAAAAAAUUCACAGGUGUUUUUAUUCUAGGAAAGUCAGUGUCUUUUCAGUUCUUGUGCUCACUGUGAAUGUUUUAAGAAUGAGCUAUAUAAUAUACGGUGUUUCCCGUGUAUAUUUCUCUAGGAAACCCAUUUUUUUUACACAAUGCAGAGCAUCUAUGGGACUCAGGUAUUCUACUACUUGUAGUUUGUGAAAGCUCUGUUCUAUUAUUUUACUUAUUGUAAUUACUUCCUUACAGCCUGUGUGCUUCUUGAGGUCAGAGGCUGUGUACUAGGUAUUACUAUUUGCUCUUUACUUAGUAAAAUGUGGGAGUUCCCGUCAUGGCUCAGUGCUUAACGAAUUCGACUAGGAACCAUGAGGGUGCGGGUUUGGUCCUGGCCUUGCUCAGUGGGUUAAGGAUCCGGUGUUGCCAUGAGCUGUGGUGUGGGUUGCAGACACGGCUCAGAUCGUGCCUUGCUGUGGCUGUGGUGUAGGCCAGUGGCUUCAGCUCCGAUUAGACCCCUAGCCUGGGAACCUCCAUAUGCCGUGGGAGUGGCCCUAGAAAAGGCCAAAAGACAAAAAACCAAAAACUUAGUAAAAUGUGGAUGAUUGCUUGAAUAUAGACUUAGUUUAUAAAUGAAAUAUUCUAAAUCACGUCAAUAUAAAGAUAAGAAAAGUAGUUUUUUUUUUCAUCUGUCUUAUUUGUUGUGAUUUUGUUUGAUGUAGGACCUGUAAACACUGGAUAAAUUAGUAAUUAAUGGAGUCUGUAAAUAAAAUGAAAUAGAGGGCUCAACACACAUUUAGAUGAUGUUAUUCCAGUGUUAGCAAAAAAUUUGGUGCGUGUUUUUAGAAAUGUGAAUUGGACCAUUUUACUCAUUUGAAAAAAUUUUCAGUUUCCCUUAUAAUCUAUGUAGCAUUUCUUUUUCUUUUUUGGCCACCCCACAUCAUAUGGAGUAACAGGACCAGGGAUCUGAUCCGAGCCACAGUUGUGACCUAUGCCACAGCUGUGGCAACCCUGGAUCCUUUAACACGCUGCGGCAGGCUGGGAUCAAACCUGUGUCCUGGUGUUGCAGAGUUGCUGCUGUUCCCAUUGUACCAGAGUGGGAACUUCUAUAUAAUGGUUUUUAAAAUUUUUUUCUUGUACUCUACCUUUUUAGGAGUUAAGAUUUUUCAUCUGUUAAAUUUUACCAUUGCAGUAUGUUUUUAUCAUUAUGAAAAUUUAAAGGUAAUAUGCUCUGAAAUUACGUUUUUGUAAAUAUCUAAAUACUUAAUGUUGGCAAUUACUUAAUGUUUUUCAUUAUUUUGGACAUUUUAUGUUGUAAUUUUAUAGAAAAGGGCCAAAUUAUUUAAACUACAUUUAAAUAUAUAUUUUAAAUAUUUAAAAGGCAUGGAUGUCUCAGAAUUUCCACUCUGAAAGAAAUCUCUUUAUAAGAUGUAACAAUAAAAUAUUCAUACAGAAGAAGAGCAAAAUUCUGCCCAGGGGCAAACAAAAAUACAUACAUUUAUAUUUAGUUUUCUUUCAUUCUGAGACAUUGUCUGUAUUGCUGAUGAAGGUUUGUUCUCAUGUGUAUUUAGUGAGCAUCUGGUUUAAAAUAUACGGAGACCCUUGCUACUACUCAACACCAGCACAGUUGGCAAGAUAAAGAUUUUUAGUUAAAAAACAACAACAACAAAUUGAGUUUGUCUAUUUAUUAAUUCAAUUAGAAGAAAUAAAAUGAUAAGCAAUGAGAUCCUGCUGUGUAGCACAGGGAACUAUGUCCAAACACCUCUGAUGGAACAUGAUGGAAGAUGAUAUGAGAAGGGGAAUGUAUAUGUAUGUAUGACUAGGUCUCUUUGCUGUACAAUAGAAAUUGACAGAACAUUGUAAAUCAACUAUAAUGAUUUUUUUAAAAAAAGCAAUACACAAUGAGAUCUUGCUGUGUAGCAUUGAGAAUUAUGUCUAGAUACUUACAUUGCAACACGACAAUGGGAGGAAAAAUUACCCAUACAUGUAUGUGUAACCUGGUCCCCCUGCUGUACAGU
rnacentral:lncRNA from 1 species